GACGAACGCUGGCGGCGUGCCUAAUACAUGCAAGUCGAGCGAGCGGAACCAACAGAUUUACUUCGGUAAUGACGUUGGGAAAGCGAGCGGCGGAUGGGUGAGUAACACGUGGGGAACCUGCCCCUAAGUCUAGGAUACCAUUUGGAAACAGGUGCUAAUACCGGAUAAUAAAGCAGAUCGCACGAUCAGCUUUUGAAAGGCGGCGUAAGCUGUCGCUAAGGGAUGGCCCCACGGUGCAUUAGCUAGUUGGUAAGGUAACGGCUUACCAAGGCGACGAUGCAUAGCCGUACUGAGAGGUAGAACAGCCACAAUGGGACUGAGACACGGCCCAU
rnacentral:rRNA from 1 species